rnacentral:rRNA from 1 species
UCUGAACCUUCGGGGAACGAUAACGGCGUCGAGCGGCGGACGGGUGAGUAAUGCCUAGGAAAUUGCCCUGAUGUGGGGGAUAACCAUUGGAAACGAUGGCUAAUACCGCAUAAUGCCUACGGGCCAAAGAGGGGGACCUUCGGGCCUCUCGCGUCAGGAUAUGCCUAGGUGGGAUUAGCUAGUUGGUGAGGUAAUGGCUCACCAAGGCGACGAUCCCUAGCUGGUCUGAGAGGAUGAUCAGCCACACUGGAACUGAGACACGGUCCAGACUCCUACGGGAGGCAGCAGUGGGGAAUAUUGCACAAUGGGCGCAAGCCUGAUGCAGCCAUGCCGCGUGUGUGAAGAAGGCCUUCGGGUUGUAAAGCACUUUCAGUCGUGAGGAAGGUGGUGUAGUUAAUAGCUGCAUUAUUUGACGUUAGCGACAGAAGAAGCACCGGCUAACUCCGUGCCAGCAGCCGCGGUAAUACGGAGGGUGCGAGCGUUAAUCGGAAUUACUGGGCGUAAAGCGCAUGCAGGUGGUUUGUUAAGUCAGAUGUGAAAGCCCGGGGCUCAACCUCGGAAUAGCAUUUGAAACUGGCAGACUAGAGUACUGUAGAGGGGGGUAGAAUUUCAGGUGUAGCGGUGAAAUGCGUAGAGAUCUGAAGGAAUACCGGUGGCGAAGGCGGCCCCCUGGACAGAUACUGACACUCAGAUGCGAAAGCGUGGGGAGCAAACAGGAUUAGAUACCCUGGUAGUCCACGCCGUAAACGAUGUCUACUUGGAGGUUGUGGCCUUGAGCCGUGGCUUUCGGAGCUAACGCGUUAAGUAGACCGCCUGGGGAGUACGGUCGCAAGAUUAAAACUCAAAUGAAUUGACGGGGGCCCGCACAAGCGGUGGAGCAUGUGGUUUAAUUCGAUGCAACGCGAAGAACCUUACCUACUCUUGACAUCCAGAGAACUUUCCAGAGAUGGAUUGGUGCCUUCGGGAACUCUGAGACAGGUGCUGCAUGGCUGUCGUCAGCUCGUGUUGUGAAAUGUUGGGUUAAGUCCCGCAACGAGCGCAACCCUUAUCCUUGUUUGCCAGCGAGUAAUGUCGGGAACUCCAGGGAGACUGCCGGUGAUAAACCGGAGGAAGGUGGGGACGACGUCAAGUCAUCAUGGCCCUUACGAGUAGGGCUACACACGUGCUACAAUGGCGCAUACAGAGGGCAGCAAGCUAGCGAUAGUGAGCGAAUCCCAAAAAGUGCGUCGUAGUCCGGAUUGGAGUCUGCAACUCGACUCCAUGAAGUCGGAAUCGCUAGUAAUCGUGGAUCAGAAUGCCACGGUGAAUACGUUCCCGGGCCUUGUACACACCGC